AAUAGAUACCCGGGUAGUCCACGCCGUAAACGAUGAGUGCUAAGUGUUAGAGGGUUUCCGCCCUUUAGUGCUGCAGCUAACGCAUUAAGCACUCCGCCUGGGGAGUACGGUCGCAAGACUGAAACUCAAAGGAAUUGACGGGGGCCCGCACAAGCGGUGGAGCAUGUGGUUUAAUUCGAAGCAACGCGAAGAACCUUACCAGGUCUUGACAUCCCACUGACCGGUAUAGAGAUAUACCUUUCCCUUCGGGGACAGUGGUGACAGGUGGUGCAUGGUUGUCGUCAGCUCGUGUCGUGAGAUGUUGGGUUAAGUCCCGCAACGAGCGCAACCCUUGAUCUUAGUUGCCAGCAUUUAGUUGGGCACUCUAAGGUGACUGCCGGUGACAAACCGGAGGAAGGUGGGGAUGACGGUCAAAUCAUCAUGCCCCUUAUGACCUGGGCUACACACGUGCUACAAUGGAUGGUACAAAGGGCUGCAAGACUGCGAAGUCAAGCCAAUCCCAUAAAACCAUUCUCAGUUCGGAUUGCAGG
rnacentral:rRNA from 1 species